AACGAACGCUGGCGGCAGGCCUAACACAUGCAAGUCGAGCGAACCCUUCGGGGUUAGCGGCGGACGGGUUAGUAACACGUGGGAAUAUACCCUUUGGUACGGAAUAGCCUCGGGAAACUGAGAGUAAUACCGUAUGUGCCCUUCGGGGGAAAGAUUUAUCGCCAAAGGAUUAGCCCGCGUUGGAUUAGAUAGUUGGUGGGGUAAUGGCCUACCAAGUCUACGAUCCAUAGCUGGUUUGAGAGGAUGAUCAGCAACACUGGGACUGAGACACGGCCCAGACUCCUACGGGAGGCAGCAGUGGGGAAUCUUAGACAAUGGGCGCAAGCCUGAUCUAGCCAUGCCGCGUGGACGAUGAAGGCCUUAGGGUUGUAAAGUCCUUUCAGAUGGGAAGAUAAUGACGGUACCAUCAGAAGAAGCCCCGGCUAACUCCGUG
rnacentral:rRNA from 1 species